UACGAGGGGGGCGAGCGUUGUUCGGAAUUAUUGGGCGUAAAGGGUGCGUAGGCGGUUUGGUAAGUCUUGUGUGAAAUCUACAGGCUCAACUUGUAGUCUGCACGAGAAACUGCCGGGCUUGAGUGUGGGAGAGGUGAGUGGAAUUCCUGGUGUAGCGGUGAAAUGCGUAGAUAUCAGGAGGAACACCUGUGGCGAAAGCGGCUCACUGGUCCGGUACUGACGCUGAGGUGCGAAAGCGUGGGGAGCAAACAGG
rnacentral:rRNA from 1 species